CCAACACAGCUGUUCCACAAGCAGGCUCCUGCAUCAUCGAAACAAUUGCCAUCUGAGCCCUGAUACCUUCCUUCCUACCAUUUAUGAGAUUAUGGUGUGGAUUUUGAACUGAAGACAUCAAUUAUCUGAGCUGUCUUUCCCAAAUUGGGGACCUUGCGCUUGCCCGGCAGGUGGCGGCACCACUGAGCUACAUCCCCACCCCAGGAUAUAUGAUCUUUAUGUGGCCUAUGCAUUUACUUAUAAAAAUAUUAAAAGUUUCUUGUACGUUAAACACAGUGUGAGGUGCUGAGAUUAUUGUGGUAAGUAUGACUUAU
ensembl:lncRNA